rnacentral:rRNA from 1 species
CCUACGGGAGGCUGCAGUGAGGAAUAUUGGUCAAUGGGCGCAAGCCUGAACCAGCCAAGUCGCGUGAGGGAUGACGGUCCUAUGGAUUGUAAACCUCUUUUGUCGGGGAGCAAGGCCCGCCACGUGUGGCGGGAAGGAGAGUACCCGAAGAAAAAGCAUCGGCUAACUCCGUGCCAGCAGCCGCGGUAAUACGGAGGAUGCGAGCGUUAUCCGGAUUUAUUGGGUUUAAAGGGUGCGUAGGCGGAAGGUUAAGUCAGCGGUCAAAUGUCGGUGCUCAACACCGGCCUGCCGUUGAAACUGGUCUUCUUGAGUGCACACAGGGAUGCCGGAAUUCAUGGUGUAGCGGUGAAAUGCUUAGAUAUCAUGAAGAACUCCGAUCGCGAAGGCAAGUGUCCGGGGUGCAACUGACGCUGAGGCUCGAAAGUGCGGGUAUCAAACAGGAUUAGAUACCCUUGUAGU